rnacentral:rRNA from 1 species
AUUGAACGCUGGCGGCAGGCUUAACACAUGCAAGUCGAACGAGUGGCGGACGGGUGAGUAACGUCUGGGAAACUGCCUGAUGGAGGGGGAUAACUACUGGAAACGGUAGCUAAUACCGCAUACCAUCAGAUGUGCCCAGAUGGGAUUAGCUGGUUGGUGGGGUAACGGCUCACCAAGGCGACGAUCCCUAGCUGGUCUGAGAGGAUGACCAGCAACACUGGAAGUGUGACACGGUCCAGACUCCUACGGGAGGCAGCGGUGGGGAAUAUUGCACAAUGGGCGCAGGCCUGAUGCAGCCAUGCCGCGUGUAUGAAGAGGGCCUUCGGGUUGAAAAGUACUUUCAGCGGGGCGGCGUUACCCGCAGAAGAAGCACCGGCUAACUCCGUGCCAGCAGCCGCGGUAAUUC